UACGAAGGGGGCUAGCGUUGCUCGGAAUCACUGGGCGUAAAGGGUGCGUAGGCGGGUCUUAAGUCAGGGGUGAAAUCCUGGAGCUCAACUCCAGAACUGCCUUUGAUACUGAAGAUCUUGAGUUCGGGAGAGGUGAGUGGAACUGCGAGUGUAGAGGUGAAAUUCGUAGAUAUUCGCAAGAACACCAGUGGGCGAAGGCGCUCACUGGCCCGAUACUGACGCUGAGGCACGAAAGCGUGGGGAGCAAACAGG
rnacentral:rRNA from 1 species